AGAGGGUGCAAGCGUUAAUCGGAAUUACUGGGCGUAAAGCGAGCGUAGGUGGCUUGAUAAGUCAGAUGUGAAAUCCCCGGGCUUAACCUGGGAACUGCAUCUGAUACUGUUAGGCUAGAGUAGGUGAGAGGGAGGUAGAAUUUCAGGUGUAGCGGUGAAAUGCGUAGAGAUCUGAAGGAAUACCGAUGGCGAAGGCAGCCUCCUGGCAUCAUACUGACACUGAGGUCCGAAAGCGUGGGUAGCAAACAGGAUUAGAUACCCUGGUAGUCCACGCCGUAAACGAUGUCUACUAGUCGUUGGGGAACUUGAUUCCUUAGUGACGCAGCUAACGCAAUAAGUAGACCGCCUGGGGAGUACGGCCGCAAGGUUA
rnacentral:rRNA from 1 species